AUAUCAAUAAGCGGAGGAAAAGAAACCAACAGGGAUUGCCCCAGUAACGGCGAGUGAAGCGGCAAGAGCUCAAAUUUGAAAUCUGGCCUCCUCCGGGGGUCCGAGUUGUAAUUUGCAGAGGAUGCUUCGGGUGCGGCCCCCGUCUAAGUUCCUUGGAACAGGACGUCAGAGAGGGUGAGAAUCCCGUUUUGGGCGGGCGGCCCGCGCCCGUGUGAAGCUCCUUCGACGAGUCGAGUUGUUUGGGAAUGCAGCUCUAAGCGGGUGGUAAAUUUCAUCUAAAGCUAAAUACUGGCCGGAGACCGAUAGCGCACAAGUAGAGUGAUCGAAAGGUUAAAAGCACCUUGAAAAGGGAGUUAAACAGCACGUGAAAUUGUUGAAAGGGAAGCGCUUGCGGCCAGACUCGGGGGCGGGGUUCAGCGGGCGCUCGUCGCCCGUGCACUCCCCGCGCCCCGGGCCAGCAUCAGUUUCGACGGCCGGUCAAAGGCCCCCGGAAUGUGUCGUCUCUAGGGACGUCUUAUAGCCGGGGGUGCAAUGCGGCCCGUCGGGACUGAGGAACGCGCUCCGGCUCGGAUGCUGGCGUAAUGGCCGUAAGCGGC
rnacentral:rRNA from 1 species